rnacentral:rRNA from 1 species
GACGAACGCUGGCGGCGUGCUUAACACAUGCAAGUCGAGCGGUAAGGCCCUUUCGGGGGUACGACGAGCGGCGAACGGGUGAGUAACACGUGGGUGACCUGCCCUCCAGCUCUGGGAUAAGCCUGGGAAACCGGGUCGUAAUACUGGAUAUGACUCCAUGACGCAUGUUGUGGGGUGGAAAGCCUUGUGCGGCUGAGGAUGGGCCCGGCCGGCCUAUCAGCUUGUU